CAGGACUAUCUGAAGCAAGUGCUUGAUAUAGACCUGCAAUGCCCAGAUCCACUUCGGUCGAGUGUUUAUGAAGCCAGGUUUGCCUACUACGUUUGCCACCUUAGACACUGACGGUGCCAGAAAGCUGAUCUUCGCCCUUCCAGGUAACCCAGUGUCAGCUGUUGUAACCUGUAACCUCUUUGUUAUCCCUGCAUUAAGAAAGAUGCAGGGGAUCCUGGACCCACGGCCCACCAUCAUCAAAGCCAGGGUAAGUUUGGCCAAUAAAGCUCAUGUUCUUGCAGUGGUGGAUU